rnacentral:rRNA from 1 species
CUCUUCUUGUUUAAAUAAGAGGUAUAGCCUGCCCAAUGAAGAAUUUAAUGGCCGCGGUAUACUGACCGUGCAAAGGUAGCAUAAUCAUUAGUCUUUUAAUUGAAGGCUGGAAUGAAUGGCUGGACGAGAUAAUAACUAUCUUAUUAUUAUGGAAUUGAAUUUAAUUUUUAAGUAAGAAAGCUUAAAUUAAUUUUUGGGACGAGAAGACCCUAUAGAGUUUAAUAUUAUUUUUGAUUAAUUAUGUUUGUGAAUUAUAUAAUUAUAAUUAAUAUUUUGUUGGGGUGAUAGAAAGAUAAAAGUAACUCUUUAUAUUUAAAAUUAUAUAUUUAUAUUUUUUUUGAUCCACUUUUAGUGAUUAUAAGACUAAAUUACC